rnacentral:rRNA from 1 species
AAUAGAUACCCGGGUAGUCCAUGCCGUAAACGUUGGGCACUAGGUGUGGGUCUCAACCAACGAGAUCCGUGCCGCAGCUAACGCAUUAAGUGCCCCGCCUGGGGAGUACGGCCGCAAGGCUAAAACUCAAAGAAAUUGACGGGGGCCCGCACAAGCGGCGGAGCAUGUUGCUUAAUUCGAAGCAACGCGAAGAACCUUACCAGCCCUUGACAUGGCAGGACGACGUUCAGAGACGGACGUUUUCCCUUCGGGGACCUGCACACAGGUGCUGCAUGGCUGUCGUCAGCUCGUGUCGUGAGAUGUUGGGUUAAGUCCCGCAACGAGCGCAACCCUCGCCCUUAGUUGCCAUCAUUAAGUUGGGCACUCUAGGGGGACUGCCGGUGAUAAGCCGGAGGAAGGUGGGGAUGAUGUCAAGCCUUCAUGGCCCUUACGGGCUGGGCUACACACGUGCUACAAUGGCGGUGACAGAGGGCAGCGACCACGCGAGUGGAUGCUAAUCCCUAAAAGCCGUCUCAGUUCGGAUUGCACU